rnacentral:tRNA from 1 species
GCGUUCAUAGCUCAGUUGGUUAGAGCACCACCUUGACGUGGUGGGGGUCGUUGGUUCGAGUCCAAUUGAACGCACCA